rnacentral:lncRNA from 1 species
GCAGAAUAAAUUAUCCUUAGCCUUCAACAGUAUAACAACUGAUAGAAUACAAUAGACAACAAGUUUUAGAUCAACAACUGCAGCGGAAAUAAGCAAUCCAUUAGAAGAGUCAAGUAGAGCAUAAAAUCUAUUAUCUUCUAUGAUUUAAAAAGUUUUUCAUCAACUUUAUCGCUGAGACUCAGCUUAAUAAAUAAAAUCGAAUCAUCCCUGCACUACGGCCAA